UUUGCCUUUACUUCUCUCUGAAACUCCACAGUAAAAUGAGUUAAGAUAAGAAUAAGAUUUAUUUGAGAGAUUGAGCAAACCUAUAAAGAAAAAUGUUUUAUAAUUGUGUGAAUGUGGAACAUGACAAAUGCACUGAGUCUUUAUUUAUAACGGAAACGCCUUUCUCAAGCGUCUUCACAUGUAUUUUGGCCAGUCCCACCACCCGUACCGUAAGUGCACGUGUAGACGCGCAACACUAAACAAAGUGCGGCUGCUUAACCGUGUAUUUUCAAGAUGUGGCUGCUUAACCGCAUUAUCUCAAAGUUCGUUAGCAGAGACAUUUCUGAAAGUGGUUUUGGAGAAGAUCAAGGCGGAGAAAGAGUCUAUGAGACAUGAACUCCUGCAGUCUCUCUGUGGGGUUUAUGUGGGAUUGUGUUAAAAAAGAGGAGACUCUCAUAAAGCACAUGCCCUCGCCUACAGACUUCUUAAAGAAGACUCUUCUGAAGCCACAAAACUGUUAAUGGUCAUGGUGACAGCAUGGCCAAGUGUUUUCUCCUGUAACAGCCCUUUAUGCAGAGCCGUUCACAUCGUGCAGAAUGAAGGCAUACAGAAAGAUUUAUUACUUGCUCAGCAAAUAUCUGCACUGGGAUACGGUAAGUAGCUGAUUCUCAUCACUACAGUAAUCAGAACAGUCAUUAAACAUCGUUUUUCACCUCCACUUUUCAUGUGUUUUACUGCACACUUAAUCUACUUUUUAUUUCCUAUGUCCAAGUGAUCAAUAGAGCAAAUUCAUUAUAAAUUCAUAUUGAAUUAAAUUAAUAAGUAUUUCAUUUCUUACUUCAAAAUUCAAGCUAAAAGUGUUACAGGACACUUUCUUUCUUUAUUAAUAAAAUCUUAUCUUUAUAAAUAAGAAUGCUCUAAACUGCACUAAACUCCAACGUCAAUGAUGCUGUUUAUGAUCAGAUCAGUGCAAUAAACAUGCAAGCUAAUAAAUCUGUUUCAUAAUAUACUAAUAAAGGAAGUGAUCUAGAACCAUGUGACACUGUGCUCACUACUAAAUAAACAAACUAACUUUGUGCCUCAAAUGACACACUCAUGUAGUAUUCUAGAUCAUUAUUUACCCCUGUUACUGUCUGAUACAUAAACCCUUCACUAACGCUGUGUGCUAUUUUCCAUGUGUAUUUAAAAUCUUGGUCAUUUGGAGGUCAUUUUCUAGGACUCCUCCUUACAUAAGAGUAAUAAAUGGAGGUUAUAAAAAGAGCAGAAAGCACAGUUAGAGCUCUACCUCAGUAUUUCAAUCAUCUGCACUUGUGAUUGGUUGUGACCUUUCAGUUAUGAUCAUAUUAUUGUAAACACUGUUUCAUUGAUCUGGGUUUUAAAUAAAUGAUGUAUUUUUUGCUACGAGCCUCCUGGAGACACCUACAGAGCCAUCACCAGCACACUGAAGGCUCUUCUGAAAGACAAAAGUCUGACUUUCCAGAAGAGCAGUUGGUAUGGUGAUGAUCUCCUUCCUGCUGCCUGGGACUACGUAUUCAGCCUGGACCUUCUCUGUGCACAACUGGGCUGGAUUUGGACCGUCUCCCAUGUUAUACGAAAAAGUGUGUGGCUCAUCUUGAAUACUUGGCUAAAACAAACACAAACAGAGGAAACAAAGUUCAGAAACGUCUCUGUAGCAGCA